UUCAGAAUGCUUGCUUCCGCCACUCCUGAUAUUCAUAGUUGUUGUCAUCCAACUUCUACAGCUGAUCCAUUGGUAGUUUUUGCUGAUAGAGCAAGCAAACAGGCUGACUUAAAAGAUUUCUGUCACAGUGGUGUGUUGAGAUUUUAACUGACAGCUAUUUAAUCUGUAACACUGACUACAUCACUUCCAGUGUACUAGGAAUACAGAGCUUACCCAGACUGAAGGAAUGUCAGCAAAAAUCCGGUGACACUGGGGAACCCGUCUGCUCCCCUGCUACUGUACAGUUGUUUGCUGUUGUUGAAACAACCUCAAAGCUGAUCGACAGUAAGGCUUCCACAGAAUGAGCUUGAAUUCUAAUGGCAUAUGGAAAUUGUUUAAAGCUCUGUGCUAUACUUUUUGUAUGGGGCCAAGCUUGCUGCAAAUUUCAUUAGCAGUGCAGAAUCUGAACUUGAAGUCUGCAAACUCUUAUCCAACAGUUGUACAGAUUUGUCCAAUGAGAUAGAAGAGCAUUCACUUCAGAAGGAAUAACCAGGUAAGUCUGACAAUGACUGAAAUGGUAUUUUCUUUCUAUCUAUCUAAAAUAUAUUCACGUGUAUGUUUCAUUUAAUUCAUUAACAGAUUAUAUGUUAAAAUAUGUAAUAAAAAUACUAUAUGUGUGUUCUCUAUAAUGUUU
rnacentral:lncRNA from 1 species